UCGCGUUUUCGGAGCGGCCGAUAUCGGAUUAGCUAGUAGGUGAGGUAAAGGCUCACCUAGGCGACGAUCCGUAGCUGGUCUGAGAGGACGACCAGCCACACUGGAACUGAGACACGGUCCAGACUCCUACGGGAGGCAGCAGUGGGGAAUUUUGGACAAUGGGCGAAAGCCUGAUCCGGCCAUGCCGCGUGAGUGAAGAAGGCCUUCGGGUUGUAAAGCUCUUUCAGCCGGAAAGAAAACGCAUGGGUUAAUAACCUGUGUGGAUGACGGUACCGGAAGAAGAAGCACCGGCUAACUACGUGCCAGCAGCCGCGGUAAUACGUAGGGUGCGAGCGUUAAUCGGAAUUACUGGGCGUAAAGCGUGCGCAGGCGGUUUUGUAAGACAGAUGUGAAAUCCCCGGGCUUAACCUGGGAACUGCAUUUGUGACUGCAAGGCUAGAGUACGGCAGAGGGGGGUAGAAUUCCACGUGUAGCAGUGAAAUGCGUAGAUAUGUGGAGGAAUACCGAUGGCGAAGGCAGCCCCCUGGGUCGAUACUGACGCUCAUGCACGAAAGCGUGGGGAGCAAACAGGAUUAGAUACCCUGGUAGUCCACGCCCUAAACGAUGUCAACUAGGUGUUGGGGGAGGAGACUUCCUUAG
rnacentral:rRNA from 1 species